GGACGAACGCUGGCGGCACGCCUAACACAUGCAAGUCGAACGGACUUAUAUGAGCUUGCUCAAAUAAGUUAGUGGCGAACGGGUGAGUAACACGUGAGCAACCUGCCUCUAAGAGGGGAAUAGCUUCUAGAAAUGGAUGGUAAUACCUCAUAAAAUAUUUUAAUGGCAUCAUUGAAAUAUCAAAGAUUUAUCGCUUAGAGAUGGGCUCGCGUCUGAUUAGCUAGAUGGUAAGGUAACGGCUUACCAUGGCGACGAUCAGUAGCCGGACUGAGAGGUUGAACGGCCACAUUGGGACUGAGACACGGCCCAGACUCCUACGGGAGGCAGCAGUGGGGAAUAUUGCACAAUGGGCGAAAGCCUGAUGCAGCGAUGCCGCGUGAGGGAAGAAGGUCUUCGGAUUGUAAACCUCUGUUUUCAGGGACGAUAAUGACGGUACCUGAGGAGGAAGCUCCGGCUAACUACGUGCCAGCAGCCGCGGUAAUACGUAGGGAGCGAGCGUUGUCCGGAAUUACUGGGUGUAAAGGGAGUGUAGGCGGGAAAACAAGUCAGAUGUGAAAACUAUGGGCUCAACCUGUAGACUGCAUUUGAAACUGUUUUUCUUGAGUGAAGUAGAGGUAAGCGGAAUUCCUAGUGUAGCGGUGAAAUGCGUAGAUAUUAGGAGGAACAUCAGUGGCGAAGGCGGCUUACUGGGCUUUUACUGACGCUGAGGCUCGAAAGCGUGGGGAGCAAACAGGAUUAGAUACCCUGGUAGUCCACGCUGUAAACGAUGAUUACUAGGUGUGGGGGGACUGACCCCUUCCGUGCCGCAGUUAACACAAUAAGUAAUCCACCUGGGGAGUACGACCGCAAGGUUGAAACUCAAAGGAAUUGACGGGGGCCCGCACAAGCAGUGGAGUAUGUGGUUUAAUUCGAAGCAACGCGAAGAACCUUACCAGGACUUGACAUCGUCUGAAUCAUCCGUAAUGGGAAAAGUCCUUCGGGACAGACAGACAGGUGGUGCAUGGUUGUCGUCAGCUCGUGUCGUGAGAUGUUGGGUUAAGUCCCGCAACGAGCGCAACCCUUAUUGCUAGUUGCCAUCAUUAAGUUGGGCACUCUAGUGAGACUGCCGGAGACAAUUCGGAGGAAGGUGGGGAUGACGUCAAAUCAUCAUGCCCCUUAUGUUCUGGGCUACACACGUGCUACAAUGGGUGUAACAACGGGAAGCGAGCUGGUGACAGCAAGCCAACCUCUAAAAAGCACCCUCAGUUCGGAUUGCAGGCUGAAACCCGCCUGCAUGAAGUUGGAGUUGCUAGUAAUCGCGAAUCAGCAUGUCGCGGUGAAUACGUUCCCGGGCCU
rnacentral:rRNA from 1 species